rnacentral:tRNA from 1 species
GCCAGUGUUGCGUAGUGGUUUGACUGUUGGACUGUGAUUCUGGAGACCAGAGUUUGAUUCCCUGCUCAGCCA